rnacentral:rRNA from 1 species
CGGCGAACGGGUGAGUAACACGUGAGUAAUCUGCCCUCCACUUCGGGAUAGCCCUCCGAAAGGGGGAUUAAUACCGGAUGGGCACCACGGACCGCAUAGUGUGUGGUGGAAAGUUUUUCGGUGGGGGAUGAGCUCGCGGCCUAUCAGCUUGUUGGUGAGGUGAUGGCUCACCAAGGCUUCGACGGGUAGCCGGCCUGAGAGGGUGACCGGCCACACUGGGACUGAGACACGGCCCAG